CAGCAGCCACGGUAAUACGAACUGUGCGAACGUUAUUCGGAAUCACUGGGCUUAAAGCGCGUGUAGGCGGGCCGCCACGUCGGCUGCUGAAAUCCCCCGGCUCAACCGGGGAACGGGCACCGAUACGAGCGGCCUGGAGGGGGGUAGGGGGGACUGGAACUUCCGGUGGAGCGGUGAAAUGCGUUGAGAUCGGAAGGAACGCCCGUGGCGAAAGCGAGUCCCUGGACCCUUUCUGACGCUGAGACGCGAAAGCCGGGGGAGCGAACGGGAUUAGAUACCCCCGUAGUCCCUGUCUCUUAUA
rnacentral:rRNA from 1 species